GGGUGUUACAGCUUGUUUAGAAUUGUCUAGCAGAUUUUCCAGCUUUUACUGGAAGCCCCCU
rnacentral:snRNA from 1 species